GUGAACGCUGGCGGUAGGCCUAACACAUGCAAGUCGAACGGCAGCACAGUAAGCGCUUGCUCUUACGGGUGGCGAGUGGCGGACGGGUGAGGAAUACAUCGGAAUCUACUUUUUCGUGGGGGAUAACGUAGGGAAACUUACGCUAAUACCGCAUACGACCUACGGGUGAAAGCAGGGGAUCUUCGGACCUUGCGCGAUUGAAUGAGCCGAUGUCGGAUUAGCUAGUUGGCGGGGUAAAGGCCCACCAAGGCGACGAUCCGUAGCUGGUCUGAGGGGAUGAUCAGCCACACUGGAACUGAGACACGGUCCAGACUCCUACGGGAGGCAGCAGUGGGGAAUAUUGGACAAUGGGCGCAAGCCUGAUCCAGCCAUACCGCGUGGGUGAAGAAGGCCUUCGGGUUGUAAAGCCCUUUUGUUGGGAAAGAAAAGCAGCAGGUUAAUACCCCGCUGUUCUGACGGUACCCAAAGAAUAAGCACCGGCUAACUUCGUG
rnacentral:rRNA from 1 species